rnacentral:rRNA from 1 species
UACAUGGGGUGCAAACGUUGCUCGGAACUAUUGGGCGUAAAGCGCACGUAGGCGGUUUGUUAAGUCGGAUGUGAAAUCCCUCGGCUCAACUGAGGAAGUGCAUCCGAAACUGGCAAGCUUGAGUACGAAAGAGGGUCGCGGAAUUCCCGGUGUAGAGGUGAAAUUCGUAGAUAUCGGGAGGAACACCGGUGGCGAAGGCGGCGACCUGGGUCGGUACUGACGCUGAGGUGCGAAAGCGUGGGGAGCAAACAGG